rnacentral:rRNA from 1 species
AGUCGAGCGUGAACCGUCUGAAUGAAACUUCGGUCGAGUGAGGAUGGGGAAAGCGGCGGACGGGUGAGUAACGCGUAGGCAACCUGCCCCGUACAGAGGGAUAGCCUCGGGAAACCGGGAUUAAGACCUCAUAAUACCAUUAUCUCACAUGUGAUAAUGGUCAAAGAUUUUAUCGGUAUGGGAUGGGCCUGCGUCUGAUUAGCUGGUUGGUGGGGUAACGGCUCACCAAGGCGACGAUCAGUAGCCGACCUGAGAGGGUAAUCGGCCACAUUGGAACUGAGACACGGUCCAAACUCCUACGGGAGGCAGCAGUGGGGAAUAUUGCACAAUGGGCGAAAGCCUGAUGCAGCAACGCCGCGUGAGCGAGGAAGGCCUUUGGGUCGUAAAGCUCUGUCGAGGAGGAAGAUAAUGACGGUACUCCUCGAGGAAGCCCCGGCUAACUACGUGCCAGCAGCCGCGGUAAUACGUAGGGGGCGAGCGUUAUCCGGAAUUAUUGGGCGUAAAGAGUGCGUAGGUGGUUUUUUAAGCGUGGGGUGAAAGGCAAUAGCUUAACUAUUGUAAGCCCCGCGAACUGGGAGACUUGAGUGCAGGAGAGGAAAGCGGAAUUCCUAGUGUAGCGGUGAAAUGCGUAGAUAUUAGGAGGAACACCAGUGGCGAAGGCGGCUUUCUGGACUGUAACUGACACUGAGGCACGAAAGCGUGGGGAGCAAACAGGAUUAGAUACCCUGGUAGUCCACGCCGUAAACGAUGAGCACUAGGUGUCGGGGCCGCAAGGCUUCGGUGCCGCAGUUAACGCAUUAAGUGCUCCGCCUGGGGAGUACGUACGCAAGUAUGAAACUCAMAGGAAUUGACGGG